rnacentral:tRNA from 2 species
UGCGGGGUAGAGAAACGGUAUCUCGUUGGGCUCAUAACCCGAAGAUAGGUGGUUCGACUCCAUCCCCCGCAA